rnacentral:rRNA from 1 species
CGCGAAGAACCUUACCUGGUCUUGACAUCCACAGAACUUUCCAGAGAUGGAUUGGUGCCUUCGGGAACUGUGAGACAGGUGCUGCAUGGCUGUCGUCAGCCCGUGUUGUGAAAUGUUGGGUUAAGUCCCGCAACGAGCGCAACCCUUAUCCUUUGUUGCCAGCGGUCCGGCCGGGAACUCAAAGGAGACUGCCAGUGAUAAACUGGAGGAAGGUGGGGAUGACGUCAGGUCAUCAUGGCCCUUACGACCAGGGCUACACACGUGCUACAAUGGCGCAUACAAAGAGAAGCGACCUCGCGAGAGCAAGCGGACCUCAUAAAGUGCGUCGUAGUCCGGAUUGGAGUCUGCAACUCGACUCCAUGAAGUCGGAAUCGCUAGUAAUCGUGGAUCAGAAUGCCACGGUGAAUACGUUCCCGGGUCUUGUACACACC